GGAGAGGUGGCCGAGUGGCUUAAGGCACAGGUUUGCUAAACCUGCGUAGGGUCAACCUACCGAGGGUUCGAAUCCCUCCCUCUCCGCCA
rnacentral:tRNA from 1 species